AACAAACGCUGGCGGCGUGCCUAAUACAUGCAAGUCGAACGGGGAAAGCUUUCGGGUGAGUACUAGUGGCGCACGGGUGAGUAACGCGUGGAUAAUCUGCCUUGAAGAGGGGGAUAACCAGUCGAAAGAUUGGCUAAUACCGCAUAAGACCACAGGAACUGAGGUUCUAGAGGUCAAAGGUUUUUCGCUUGAAGAUGAGUCCGCGUAAGAUUAGCUAGUUGGUGAGGUAACGGCUCACCAAGGCGACGAUCUUUAACUGGUCUGAGAGGAUGAUCAGUCACACUGGAACUGAGACACGGUCCAGACUCCUACGGGAGGCAGCAGUAGGGAAUAUUGCACAAUGGAGGAAACUCUGAUGCAGCGACGCCGCGUGAGUGAUGAAGGCCUUCGGGUCGUAAAGCUCUGUCGCAGAGGAAUAACACAAUGAAGGUACCCUGUAAGAAAGGAUCGGCUAACUUCGUGCCAGCAGCCGCGGUAAGAC
rnacentral:rRNA from 1 species